UAAUAUGAAUGGAAAAUCCAAUUUAAUUUCGACUUAAAUAUUUGAUUAUUAAAACUAAUCCAUAUUAUCUUUAUCUAUCUUAUAUAAA
rnacentral:tRNA from 1 species